GGCGACAUAGCUCAGUUGGGAGAGCGUAAGACUGAAGAUCUUAAGAUCCCUGGUGUCGGCA
rnacentral:tRNA from 1 species